GUCAUCUAUCUCAUCCGUGUGUGUUUAUUCGCACUUCUGUUUGUGAGGUUUGGCUGCACAUAUGUAUGGCCCACCUACAUUAACAUAUUUACUUAUAGUCUUGCACUUGCACUCUUGCAGUUUUUUUUAGUGUGUACCGUUUUUUUUUUUUUUGCACUCCAUAUUGUCCGUGUAAUUUUCCUUUCAGCAUUUCUCUGUUUUCCCCCCUUUUCCUUCCCUUUCAGAAAGGGCUGUGAAUGGAAGGAAAAUUAUCACAAUUACUCAUAUAAUUGAGUCGUCUUUGUAGAAAGUGAAGCUGUAGUAGCCUUUUUUUCCCCAUCAUCUAAAAUGGUUUCAUUAUAGGGGUUUUCAUAUUCCCUGACACAGGGCGAGGAGAGGAAAGGAGAGGAGCUGGUGAGGGCCUGGAGCCGAGCGGCUGGGCGCGUGCAGGAGACGCAGGCCAAACACGAAGGAUCAUUAAGGUGUGAACCACUGGCCAGGCCUGGAGACAAUUAUUCCUGUCUGCUCUCCCAGAGGACCCAUGAGGUAGGACUCUCCUUUAACUCUCUCCCACUGUGGCCUGAGUGUGUGCAGCUGAGAAAGAGAACACAGCAGUGAUGGGCUAAAGGCCUUGAGCCCUGCAUUAAUCCAUCUCCAUUUAUAUGGCCUACGCAUACACUGCAGUUGUGUAAAUAUUGACUGAUAUUUAUUGAGCAAUUAUUUAUCGAGUUAUGAUUUGCUUCAUUUUGUAAUGAUGUAGCAACCAUUCAUUUGAAAAAACAUUUUUUAUCUGACUAAUGUUAGGUACUUUAGCUAGUUUAUCUUCCAGUAGCAUGUUUGUUGUUUAGAAAAUAUCAUCAUAAAUUGUAUUUUGAAGGGGAACAGGCUUUUAACUGGUCUCACUUAUUGGAAUAGAAAAUGAAUAACUCUCAAAAUGUAUAUUUUAAAAAGAAGAUAUAUGAUUCACAUAUAGGUAACUUGUUUAAAUUAAUUUGUAAGUACACAUGUUCAUAUCCAUAUAUAUUUAUGGACUGAUAACUGAUUAAAAUAAAAGUGCACAUUUUCAUUUAUAAAUUCUUUUCAAAACACACACAGUGAAAUGAUCAGUAAUUUAAUCGAAACUAGUCUGAAAUAACAACUGGUUGCUCUAAACAGGUUGAGUAUUUUAUGUUUAUUUAAAUAGGUGGUGGUGUUUUUUUUUAAAUUAAAUUGUUUAGUUAUAAGCUACAUAAUCGUCAAUACAAUCAAACCUUUUCAAUUGAA